rnacentral:rRNA from 1 species
UACGUAGGGGGCAAGCGUUGUCCGGAAUCAUUGGGCGUAAAGAGCGUGUGGGCGGCCCGGUAAGUCCGCUGUGAAAGUCCAGGGCUCAACCCUGGGAUGCCGGUGGAUACUGUCGGGCUCGAGUCCGGAAGAGGAGUGUGGAAUUCCUGGUGUAGCGGUGAAAUGCGCAGAUAUCAGGAGGAACACCAAUGGCGAAGGCAGCACUCUGGGACGUGACUGACGCUGAGACGCGAAAGCGUGGGGAGCAAACAGG